UACUAAUGAAACACUUGUUUCAUUAAUACAAAGAAAACAUUCAAUAUUUUUAAGUUUAAAAUAUAGGUCUUUUUAUUAUUUGUUUGACUUGGCAUAUUUUUCUCUUCUUUUAUGGGAUAUUUUAUUUAUUUAGAUUUCAAAUGUUAUCCCCUUUCCCUGUUUCCCCUCUGGAAAUCCCCUAACUAACCCCCCCACCCCGCUUCUAUGAGGGUGCUCUCCCACCCACACACUCCAACCUCCCUGCCCUGGCAUUCCCCUAUACUGGCGCAUGGAAGCUUUACAGGACCAAGGGCCUCUCCUCCCACAGAUGCCUGACAAGGCCAUUCUCUAGGUAGCUGGAGCUGUGACUCCUUUCAUGCGUACUGUUUGGUUGAUGAUUUAGUUCCUGGGAACUCGGGGGGGGGGUGUCUGGUUGGUUGAUAUUGUUGGUCUUUCUAUGGGUUGCAAACCCCUUCAGCUCCUUCAGUCCUUUCUUUAAUUCCUUCAUUUGGGGACACUGUGCUCAUUCCAAGGGUUGGAUGCUAACAUCUGCCUCUAUAUUUGUCAAGCUCUAAAAGAGCCUCUCAGGAAACAGCUUCCUGUCAGCAAGCUCUUGUUGGCAUCCAUAAUAGUUUCUGUACUGGCUAGUUUUGUGUCAACUUCACACAGCUGGAGUUAUCACAGAGAAAGGAGCUUCAGUUGAGGAAAUGCCUCCAUGAGAUCCAACUGUAAGGCAUUUUCUCAAUUAGUGAUCAAGGGGGGAAGGCCCCUUGUGGGUGGAACCAUCUCUAGGCUGGUAGUCUUGGGUUCUAUAAGAGAGCAGGCUGAGCAAGCCAGAGGAGGCAAGCCAGUAAAGAACAUCCCCCCAUGGCCUCUGUAUUAGCUCCUGCUCCUUGCUCUGUUUGAGUUCCAGUCCUGACUUCCUUUAGUGAUGAACAGCAGUGUGGAAGUUG
rnacentral:lncRNA from 1 species